rnacentral:rRNA from 1 species
UCGAUUUGGAGUUUGUUGCCUAGAGUGAUGGGCUCCGAAGCUAACGCGAUAAAUCGACCGCCUGGGGAGUACGGCCGCAAGGUUAAAACUCAAAUGAAUUGACGGGGGCCCGCACAAGCGGUGGAGCAUGUGGUUUAAUUCGAUGCAACGCGAAGAACCUUACCUGGUCUUGACAUCCACAGAAUCUUUCAGAGAUGAGGGAGUGCCUUCGGGAACUGUGAGACAGGUGCUGCAUGGCUGUCGUCAGCUCGUGUUGUGAAAUGUUGGGUUAAGUCCCGCAAC